rnacentral:lncRNA from 1 species
GUCUCAUUUGAAUGCUAAUGUUUUCAUACGGUUAGAUCAUGUGGGUCAUUUCGAGUUUUCACUCAAAUCACAAAUUUACGGGGUAUUCAGUGGUCACUUACAUCCUAACUUUAGCAUAAGUCUUGCCAAUAUUUUCUGGCUAGAAAGCUCAGACAAAGGCUUAUGCUAAUUGUUUCGCAGAUCGGCUCUCUCUGGCUUUCUACUAUAUCU